rnacentral:rRNA from 1 species
UACGGAGGUUCCAAGCGUUGUUCGGAAUUACUGGGCGUAAAGGGAGCGUAGGCGGACAGGUCAGUCUAAAGUGGAAUCCCGGGGCUCAACCUCGGACUUGCUUCGGAUACUGCCUGUCUUGAGUUCGUGAUAGGAAGAUGGAAUUCAGGGUGUAGCGGUGAAAUGCACAGAUAUCCUGAGGAACACCGGUGGCGAAAGCGGUCUUCUGGCGCGAAACUGACGCUGAGGCUCGAAAGCGUGGGUAGCAAACGGG